GACGAACGCUGGCGGCGUGCCUAAUACAUGCAAGUAGAACGCUGAAGGAGGAGCUUGCUCUUCUGGAUGAGUUGCGAACGGGUGAGUAACGCGUAGGUAACCUGCCUGGUAGCGGGGGAUAACUAUUGGAAACGAUAGCUAAUACCGCAUAAGAGUAGAUGUUGCAUGACAUUUGCUUAAAAGGUGCAAUUGCAUCACUACCAGAUGGACCUGCGUUGUAUUAGCUAGUUGGUGGGGUAACGGCUCACCAAGGCGACGAUACAUAGCCGACCUGAGAGGGUGGUCAGCCAGACUGGGACUGGGACACGGCCCAGACUCCUACGGGAGGCAGCAGGAGGGAAUCUUCGGCAAGGGGCGGAAGUCUGACCGAGCAACGCGGCGUGAGUGAAGAGGGUUUUCGGAUCGUGAAGCUCUGUUGUAAGAGAAGAACGAGUGUGAGAGUGGAAAGUUCACACUGUGACGGUAACUUACCAGAAAGGAACGGCUAACUACGUG
rnacentral:rRNA from 1 species